rnacentral:rRNA from 1 species
UACGUAGGGUGCAAGCGUUGUCCGGAAUUAUUGGGCGUAAAGAGCUCGUAGGCGGUCUGUCGCGUCUGCUGUGAAAACUCAGGGCUUAACCCUGAGCUUGCAGUGGGUACGGGCAGACUAGAGUGCGGUAGGGGAGACUGGAAUUCCUGGUGUAGCGGUGAAAUGCGCAGAUAUCAGGAGGAACACCGGUGGCGAAGGCGGGGUCUCUGGGCCGUAACUGACGCU